rnacentral:rRNA from 1 species
CGAUGGAUACUCGGUUUGAGAGGGAAUCGACCCCCUUUUGAGCCCAAGCUAACGCGUUAAGUAUCCCGCCUGGGGAGUACGGUCGCAAGAUUAAAACUCAAAGGAAUAGACGGGGACCCACACAAGCGGUGGAGCAUGUGGUUUAAUUCGACACUAAACGGGGAACCUUACCAAGGCUUGACAUCUCCGGAAUCAUUUGGAAACAAGUGAGUGCCGUAAGGAACCGGAUGACAGGUGCUGCAUGGUCGUCGUCAGCUCGUGCCUUGAGGUGUUCGGUUAAGUCCGUAAACGAGCGCAACCCAUGUCUUGUGUUGCAUUUCUCACAAGAGACUGCCGGCUCUAAGUCGGAGGAAGGUAUGGAUGACGUCAGAUCAGCAUGGCCCUUAUGCCUUGGGCCACACACGUGCUACAAUGGCCGGUACAGUAGGCAGCUAACCCGUAAGGGGGAGCCAAUCCUUUAAAGCCGGUCUCAGUUCGGAUUGAGGGCUGCAAUUCGCCCUCAUGAAGUUGGAAUCGCUAGUAACCGUGAAUCAGACAUGUCACGGUGAAUAUGUUCCUGGGUCUUGUACUCACCGCCCGUCAUAUCAUGAAAGGUGGGGGUACCCGAAGUCGCUUUAGUCUUUCGGGACGAGUGCCUAAGGUAAACUCACUGAUUGGGAUAAAGUCGUAACAAGGUAACC